CCGUCUGACUGAGCAAGUUUUUCAUGCACUUUCUUAUCAAGGCCGUACAUUCGGACAUUGGCGCGGUUGCAGGCACACCGUGUGAGGUAAUACUCAUAUUCUCCUCACGUUCACAUGGCAUGACUCGGUGCGGUCCUCUCCUACUCCUCUUGGCGAAAGAGGGCAUAGUCGCAAUCUCGAUAUUUGUUUCAGGCCCACGAUGCCCAGUAGGGUAUGCGGACUGAUGGUCGUUGCCAGUUUUCCCUGUUUCCAUGUAACUUUCAUUUUCCAGCAACUGUCUAUAGGACUCAACCAUCACGCCGCGCAAUAUACUCUCUUUUGGCACAGUAGUCAGCCUUCUCGAAGAACUCGGCACUUUACCGAAUAAUGGCAUAGUCUCAUAAUUGAGGGAUGUUACGGACUCAUCACCGGUUUUACGUGAUGGCAUGGAGAAAAGCUUCAGAAAGCGAGGGCAUGAUCUCCUCUGCUAGGCAUUCGUCACAUGUAUACCGUCGGGAGGUCCUUCUUCUUAUGACGCCUCCCACUUCAUCAUAUUAUGGCAUCCGUUCGUCUUCUAUUUUCUCUUUUAAUUUGAGUCUCCUGUUCUGAAAGGCUUCUGGUUCUUUCAUUGAAGCAUGGCGUCCUUGUGUCCUUGUGUCAGAGUCACUGACAGAAAUAACUAUAUUCGCAACAGAGUUGUUAGGAAUGGGUUUAUCUCGCAUUCUUGAAACAUCUUCAAAAGCGUCCAUGGGUUGUCCUUGAGUGUAUGUAAGUUCGGUUCCAGGGUUGGUACGGUACUUCUAAGCAAAGAUUGCCUCUGAUUGUCUAAAGCUACAUUUUUGGCCCUUUCAAUAUUCAAGGAUUGACCCUGAUAGUUUGAAGUUCCACGACCGGUACUCUCGAAUGUCGGUUCAGAUUCAUGGUUUAUAUUUUAAAAAGGCAUGGUUGUCUUUGAAUGUUUACAGUUCCACGACCGGUACUCUCAAAUGUCGGUUCCGAUUCAUCGUUUAUAUUUUGAGAAGGUAUGUUUUGCCUUUGAUUGUAUGCAGUUUCACCAGGGGAACUUUUGAAUUUCGGUUGCACUUCAUGGUUUAUGUUUUGAGAAAGCAUGCCUUUGAAUGUAUGCAGUUUCACGACCAGUACUCUCGAAUGUCCGUUCAGAUUCAUCAUUUAUAUAUUGAGAAAGCAUGGAUUGCCGUUAACUGUAUGCGGUUCCAUGACUUUUUUCCUGGAAUGACAGUGCCGGGUCAUCGGUUAUACUUUGAGAAGGCAUGGAGUAGUGCCUUUGAGAAGUGCCAGCAUCAUGGCCACAACUCUCGAAAGUAGGGAAUGAUUCAUGGCAUUUAUUGUUUGAUGGCAUCGAUGGACUUUGAUUAGGUAUGGAUUGUCUCUGACUAUAUGAAGUUCCACGUCCGGUACUCUCAAAUGUGAGAUUAGAUUUAUCAUUUAUAUUUUGAGAGGGCAUGGAUUGCCUUAGUUUGUAUGCAGUUCCACUACCGGUACUUUCGAAUGGUGGUUCCGAUUUAUCCUUUAAGUUUUGAGAUGCCAUAGAAUGUUUCUGACUGUAUACGGUUCCACGACCGGUACUGUUAUAUGUCGGUUUUGAUUUAUCGUUUAUAUUUUGAGAAGGCAUGGAUUGACUGUAUGCGGUUCCAUGACUUUUAUCCUGGAAUGACGGUGCCGGGUCAUUGCUUAUAUUUUGGGAAGGCAUGGAGAAGUGCCUUUGAGUAGUGCAACCAUCCUGGCCUCGAAUGUAGGGCACGUUUUAUGACAGAUUUUGUCUGAUAAUCUGUCCUUGGACUCUGAGUAAAUGCAGGUAUGGAUUGUCUUUGAGUAUAUGAAGUUCCACGACCGGUACUUUCGAAUGUCGGUUCCGAUUCAUCGGUUAUGUUUUGUAAAGGCAUAUAUUGACUUUUAUUGAUCGUCG
rnacentral:lncRNA from 1 species